rnacentral:rRNA from 1 species
ACGAACGCUGGCGGCGCGCUUAACACAUGCAAGUCGAACGCUGAAGCUCAGCUUUUGUUGGGUGGAUGAGUGGCGAACGGGUGAGUAACACGUGAGUAACCUGCCCCCUUCUUUGGGAUAACGCCCGGAAACGGGUGCUAAUACUGGAUAUUCACUGGUCUUCGCAUGGGGGUUGGUGGAAAGGGUUUUUCUGGUGGGGGAUGGGCUCGCGGCCUAUCAGCUUGUUGGUGGGGUGAUGGCCUACCAAGGCUUUGACGGGUAGCCGGCCUGAGAGGGUGACCGGUCACAUUGGGACUGAGAUACGGCCCAGACUCCUACGGGAGGCGGCAGUGGGGAAUAUUGCACAAUGGGCGCAAGCCUGAUGCAGCGACGCCGCGUGAGGGAUGGAGGCCUUCGGGUUGUGAACCUCUUUCGCUCAUGGUCAAGCCGCAACAAUGGUUGUGGUGAGGGUAGUGGGUAAAGAAGCGCCGGCUAACUACGUG